UAGGGAAUCUUCCACAAUGGACGCAAGUCUGAUGGAGCAACGCCGCGUGAGUGAAGAAGGUCUUCGGAUCGUAAAGCUCUGUUGUUGGUGAAGAAGGAUAGAGGCAGUAAAUGGUCUUUAUUUGACGGUAAUCAACCAGAAAGUCACGGCUAACUACGUGCCAGCAGCCGCGGUAAUACGUAGGUGGCAAGCGUUGUCCGGAUUUAUUGGGCGUAAAGCGAGCGCAGGCGGAAUGAUAAGUCUGAUGUGAAAGCCCACGGCUCAACCGUGGAACUGCAUCGGAAACUGUCAUUCUUGAGUGCAGAAGAGGAGAGUGGAACUCCAUGUGUAGCGGUGGAAUGCGUAGAUAUAUGGAAGAACACCAGUGGCGAAGGCGGCUCUCUGGUCUGCAAACUGACGCUGAGGCUCGAAAGCAUGGGUAGCGAACAGGAUUAGAUACCCUGGUAGUCCAUGCCGUAAAACGAUGAGCGCUAGGUGU
rnacentral:rRNA from 1 species